AUACUAGAAACAUAGAAGGAUCAUACUAGACCUGAUCUCUUAAUAAUAUAACUAUAAUCCCAUAAAAAUACGACCAUAGUUAAAUCAUACCCAAAUAAUAUCAGCUAUGAAAACCUUAUUAGAAUAGUAGGCAGUGCGAAAGAUGUAGACAUACACUCAAUUGAAUACUUCAGUACUCAAACAUAGACACUACACAAUACACACAAAAUAAUAUUAUUCCCAAGAAAUACAUUCCGUAAAACAAAACAGUCGGAUGGAACUUGCAUCCAUAAGGAAUGCACGGAUCAUUUGUGGCAUCGAAUUAUGCGGAUGGCACUGGAACACAAAUAGUAAUAAUAUAUAGAAGAACAAUCUAGAGGAAUACUCUGGUGAUGUGUGGCAUCAAAACAUGUUGAGCUUCCAUUUUCUCGUGCAGCAGACCCUCGCUCCUCAAGAUCAUCUCGUUAUAAAUAGGGCCAGUGUUGGCAUCGUCUUUGGUGAGGUUGUCCAUCACCUGUAGCGAGAUCCAUCAUCAGGCCGAAGCUGGAUAAAGCGCUGAUAAAGCUUGCGCGAAUCUAUAUUGGAUGAAAUAAAAGACAAAAAUUUGAAAAUAGU
rnacentral:sRNA from 1 species